AUAGAACGCUGGCGGCAUGCUCUACACAUGCAAGUCGAACGGUAGAGGGGGCAACCCCUCGAGAGUGGCGAACGGGUGAGUACUAUAUCGGAACGUGCCCCGUCGUGGGGGAUAACGUAGCGAAGGUUACGCUAAUAACGCAUACGAUCUAAGGAUGAAAGCGGGGGAUCGCAAGACCUGGCGCGAUUGGAGCGGCCGAUAUCAGAUUAGGUAGUUGGUGGGGUAAAGGCUCCACAAGCCAACGAUCCGUAGCUGUUCUGAGAGGACGACCAGCCACACUGGACCAGAGAAACGGUCCAGACUCCUACGGGAGGCAGCAGUGGGGAAUUUUGGACGAGGGACGGAAGUCUGACCCAGCCAUUCCGCGUGCAGGAUGAAGGCCCUCGGGUUGUAUACUGCGUUUGUAAGGAACGGAAAGGUCUCGCUUGAUACGGGAGGCUCAUGACGGUACCGUAAGAAUAAGCACCGGCUAACUACGUGCCAGCCGCCGCAGUAA
rnacentral:rRNA from 1 species